UCAAAUUCCACUGAGGUUGACUUUGCCUUUCAUCCUUUCAGGGGUCGGUAAAAUAAGUUACCAGUUAAGCACGGGGAUUGAUCUAAUCAGCUUGCUGCCCCCCUACCACCUCCAUCCCCUGAAAUUGCCAAAAUUAUUAAGCCGUGUAACAUUCCCUUUGAAAAACUGUAUCUUUGGAUUCACUGUUGCCAUACAACAUGGUAAUCUUAUCUUCUACCGUCUGUUAAUUCCAUCCAAGGAUUUCAAUAAAUUUAAAUUUCUUUAAUUGCAAAGUUAGUUUAUGGGUGAAAGUCAGAGUGAAGUGGAGGUGGAUAGGGUGAGUAAAUUUUUUUUUCCUGCCGAAUAUAAAAAAAAAA